UAAUUCAACAAAAAUACAUCGAUAAAAUUGGAACGAUACAGAGAAGAUUAGCAUGGCCCCUGCACAAGGAUGACACACACAAAUCGAAAAAUGGUCCAAAUUUUU
rnacentral:snRNA from 1 species